AGAGUUUGAUCCUGGCUCAGGAUGAACGCUGGCGGCGUGCCUAAUACAUGCAAGUCGAACGAAACUUCUUUAUCACCGAGUGCUUGCACUCACCGAUAAAGAGUUGAGUGGCGAACGGGUGAGUAACACGUGGGCAACCUGCCCAAAAGAGGGGGAUAACACUUGGAAACAGGUGCUAAUACCGCAUAACCAUAGUUACCGCAUGGUAACUAUGUAAAAGGUGGCUAUGCUACCGCUUUUGGAUGGGCCCGCGGCGCAUUAGCUAGUUGGUGGGGUAAAGGCUUACCAAGGCAAUGAUGCGUAGCCGAACUGAGAGGUUGAUCGGCCACAUUGGGACUGAGACACGGCCCAAACUCCUACGGGAGGCAGCAGUAGGGAAUCUUCCACAAUGGGCGAAAGCCUGAUGGAGCAACGCCGCGUGGGUGAAGAAGGUCUUCGGAUCGUAAAACCCUGUUGUUAGAGAAGAAAGUGCGUGAGAGUAACUGUUCACGUUUCGACGGUAUCUAACCAGAAAGCCACGGCUAACUACGUGCCAGCAGCCGCGGUAAUACGUAGGUGGCAAGCGUUAUCCGGAUUUAUUGGGCGUAAAGGGAACGCAGGCGGUCUUUUAAGUCUGAUGUGAAAGCCUUCGGCUUAACCGGAGUAGUGCAUUGGAAACUGGGAGACUUGAGUGCAGAAGAGGAGAGUGGAACUCCAUGUGUAGCGGUGAAAUGCGUAGAUAUAUGGAAGAACACCAGUGGCGAAAGCGGCUCUCUGGUCUGUAACUGACGCUGAGGUUCGAAAGCGUGGGUAGCAAACAGGAUUAGAUACCCUGGUAGUCCACGCCGUAAACGAUGAAUGCUAAGUGUUGGAGGGUUUCCGCCCUUCAGUGCUGCAGCUAACGCAAUAAGCAUUCCGCCUGGGGAGUACGACCGCAAGGUUGAAACUCAAAGGAAUUGACGGGGGCCC
rnacentral:rRNA from 1 species